rnacentral:rRNA from 1 species
GACGAACGCUGGCGGCGUGCUUAACACAUGCAAGUCGAACGAUGAAGCCGGAGCUUGCUCUGGUGAAUUAGUGGCGAACGGGUGAGUAACACGUGAGUAACCUGCCCUUGACUCUGGGAUAACUGCGGGAAGCUGUAGCUAAUACCGGAUACGACCCUCGGAGGCAUCUCCUGGGGGUGGAAAGAAUUUCGGUCAAGGAUGGACUCGCGGCCUAUCAGCUAGUUGGUGAGGUAAAGGCUCAACAAGGCGACGACGGGUAGCCGGCCUGAGAGGGUGGCCGGCCACACUGGUACUGGAACGAGGCCCAGACUCCUACGGGAGGCAGCAGUGGGGAAUAUUGCACAAUGGGCGCAAGCCUGAUGCAGCAACGCCGCGUGAGGGAUGACGGCCUUCGGGUUGUAAACCUCUUUUAGCAGGGAAGAAGCGAAAGUGACGGUACCUGCAGAAAAAGCACCGGCUAACUACGUGCCAGCCGCCGCCGUAA